CCCAGACUCCUACGGGAGGCAGCAGUGGGGAAUAUUGCACAAUGGGGGAAACCCUGAUGCAGCAACGCCGCGUGAGUGAAGAAGUAUUUCGGUAUGUAAAGCUCUCUCAGCAGGGAAGAAAAUGACGGUACCUGAGUAAGAAGCCCCGGCUAACUACGUGCCAGCAGCCGCGGUAAUACGUAGGGGGCAAGCGUUAUCCGGAAUUACUGGGUGUAAAGGGAGCGUAGACGGUGAAGUAAGUCUGGAGUGAAAGGCGGGGGCCCAACCCCCGGACUGCUCUGGAAACUAUUUGACUGGAGUGCAGGAGAGGUAAGCGGAAUUCCUAGUGUAGCGGUGAAAUGCGUAGAUAUUAGGAGGAACACCAGUGGCGAAGGCGGCUUACUGGACUGUAACUGACGUUGAGGCUCGAAAGCGUGGGGAGCAAACAGGAUUAGAUACCCCCGUACA
rnacentral:rRNA from 1 species